GAUUUCAGUAUCUUGGAAACCUGGUUUGUUGAUCCUCAAACUUUCAACAUCUUUCAUCAGUUACAGCACAAUUAAUAACAUUCAAGAUUCAAAGAAAGCAAACAUCUACCAAAUGAACUGUCCUUCAGUUUUAAAUUGUGCGGUCAUGUGUAAUCAUCUCUUCGUUUUAGCCGAAUAAGACAAGUCCUUGGUCUCAACAGACAUGUCUUGUUAUCGGUCGGACAAUGCCGGCAUGGUAGUUGUUCUUUGGAUUACCUAACACUAAAGGAGACAAGAGGUUUAUGAUGUCAUAGAGAGGUCCACACACGUUAUUAUUUAUCUUAUACUGGGUCUUUAUAUAUUGGCUUGUUGAUAUUGUUUAAGCUUGGCUUGUGCACCAAUUUUCUUUUGUAAACAUCAUAAUGUAUGCUUAGGAUGUUUUGGAUUAAAGUUAUAUAUAGAUAUGGGGAGUAAUUAAAUUGGAAUAUAUUAAUAUAUAGCAUCGACUAAUCCCACAUCUCCUUUAGGCUUAUUAACAUUUCUUUGCAUGUUAUUUUUCACGUUUUACACCAUUUUGCAUUUGCUAUAGGGGUGCUAUAUUUAAUAUAUUCUGAUGUUUGGUUUAUCUUAGAUUUUUAAUGCGUUUAACGUAUAUUGCAAAUUUCUCUUGAGGACCUAGUAAAGAUAAUCGGAUAUAACGUGUUUCUAUGAUAAACUUAGAUGUAUUGUUGAUAGUGUGGUCUAGAGAACUUACGGAUACAGAACCGUGUAGAUACUUUUGAAAGGGGCGUAUAAAGACGGCGUUAGUAAUGUUGAUACAUUGCCUGAAGUUGUGGAUGAGCAGGGGCACGGAGCAUAUAAUACAUGGAGGUAUUGUACAGUCAAUUGUAACGCAAUUAUUAGGACCAGAGUCAAGACGCCGAAUGAUCUGUAUGAUGAUCACCAAAGGAGUAGGAGAACACUGACAGGGUAGGCAAUAAUACCAAACAUAUUUUAGUUAUUUCUUAAAGAUACAUUAUGAGAGAUUAGAUAAAGAGCUGUCAGUU